rnacentral:rRNA from 1 species
CCCCCUUGUGGUCGGUGUACAGGUGGUGCAUGGCUGUCGUCAGCUGGGGGGAGUGUUGGGUUAAGUCCCGCAACGAGCGCAACCCUUGACCCGUGUUGCCAGCAGGCCCUUGUGGUGCUGGGGACUCACGGGAGACCGCCGGGGUCAACUCGGAGGAAGGUGGGGACGACGUCAAGUCAUCAUGCCCCUUAUGUCUUGGGCUGCACACGUGCUACAAUGGCCGGUACAAUGAGCUGCGAUACCGCGAGGUGGAGCGAAUCUCAAAAAGCCGGUCUCAGUUCGGAUUGGGGUCUGCAACUCGACCCCAUGAAGUCGGAGUCGCUAGUAAUCGCAGAUCAGCAUUGCUGCGGUGAAUACGUUCCCGGGUCUUGUACACACCGA